rnacentral:rRNA from 1 species
AUUGAACGCUGGCGGCAUGCCUUACACAUGCAAGUCGAACGGUAACAGGUCUUCGGAUGCUGACGAGUGGCGAACGGGUGAGUAAUACAUCGGAACGUGCCUAGUAGUGGGGGAUAACUACUCGAAAGAGUGGCUAAUACCGCAUGAGCUCUACGGAUGAAAGCAGGGGAUCGCAAGACCUUGUGCUACUAGAGCGGCCGAUGGCAGAUUAGGUAGUUGGUGGGAUAAAAGCUUACCAAGCCGACGAUCUGUGGCUGGUCUGAGAGGACGAUCAGCCACACUGGGACUGAGAAACGGCCCAGACUCCUACGGGAGGCAGCAGUGGGGAAUUUUGGACAAUGGGCGCAAGCCUGAUCCAGCAAUGCCGCGUGCAGGAUGAAGGCCUUCGGGUUGUAAACUGCUUUUGUACGGAACGAAAAGCCCCGGGUUAAUACCCUGGGGUCAUGACGGUACCGUAAGAAUAAGCACCGGCUAACUACGUGACAGCCGCCGCCGUAA